ACGAACGCUGGCGGCGUGCCUAAUACAUGCAAGUCGAGCGAGCGAAACUAACAGAUUUACUUCGGUAAUGACGUUAGGAAAGCGAGCGGCGGAUGGGUGAGUAACACGUGGGGAACCUGCCCCAUAGUCUGGGAUACCACUUGGAAACAGGUGCUAAUACCGGAUAAGAAAGCAGAUCGCAUGAUCAGCUUUUAAAAGGCGGCGUAAGCUGUCGCUAUGGGAUGGCCCCGCGGUGCAUUAGCUAGUUGGUAAGGUAAAGGCUUACCAAGGCGAUGAUGCAUAGCCGAGUUGAGAGACUGAUCGGCCACAUUAGGACUGAGACACGGCCCAAACUCCUACGGGAGGCAGCAGUAGGGAAUCUUCCACAAUGGACGCAAGUCUGAUGGAGCAACGCCGCGUGAGUGAAGAAGGUUUUCGGAUCGUAAAGCUCUGUUGUUGGUGAAGAAGGAUAGAGGUAGUAACUGGCCUUUAUUUGACGGUAAUCAACCAGAAAGUCACGGCUAACUACGUG
rnacentral:rRNA from 1 species